AUGGACACGCUCUACUCUUUUGUCUUUCCCAAGCAUCGCCUAAAAUCACUGUGCUGCAGCAAAGCGAUCCGUGGUGUGCAAUGUGAGCAGCGUGUGUUGACCGGACGCUUCCUCUGUGCAGUGCCGGGAGAGGCUGCAGGCUCUUCCCUUGAGCUGCCGGGCUGCGGGCCAACAUCAAACGGAGCAGCCGGAUUCCCAGGCACCGGUCCCCGCGCGGCCGACUGCCACUGGCCUCCCCGCCUGGCUGGUUGUGUCGUAGUACUGGAUGGUUUCAUGACCGGAGCGGACGAGGACUGGUGGUGUCCUCCCAUGCACCUCACGUGCACCUCGCAUGCACCUCGCGUCCACCUGCCGUGCACCUUGCGUUCGCCUGCCGUGCACCUCGCGUCCGCCUGCCGUGCACCUCGCGUUCAGCCUCCCGUGCGCUUUGCCUGUACCUCGCGUCCGCCUCCUGUGUACCUCGCGUCCACCUCCCGUGCACCUCGCAUGCACCUCCCGUCCACCUCGCAUCCACCUCGCGUGCACCUCGCGUCCACCUCCCGUGUACCUCGCGUCCAUCUCACGUCCACCUCGCAUGCACCUCGCGUCCACCUCACGUGCACCUCGCGUCCGCCUCGCGUGCACCUCGCGUCCACCUCCCGUGCACCUUGCGUCUGCCUCCCGUGCACCUCGUGUGCACCUCGCAUCCACCUCCCGUGCACCUUGCGUCCACGUCCCGUGCACCUCGUGUGCACCUCGCAUCCACCUCCUGUGUACCUCACGUCCACCUCCCGUGCACCUUGCAUGCACCUCGCGUCCACCUCACUUCCACCUCCUGUGCACCUCGCGUCCACCUCCCGUGCACCUCGCGUCCACCUCCCGUGCACCUCGCGUGCACCUGACAUACACCUCUUGUGCACCUCGCGUCCACCUCCCGUGCACCUCGCAUCCACCUCCCGUGCACCUCGUGUCCACCUCCUGUGUACCUCGCAUGCACCUCGCGUCCACCUCCCGUGCACUUCGCGUCCAACUCCCAUCCACCUCGAGUCCUCCGCCCAUGCACUUCGCGUCCACCUCCCAUCCACCUCGAGUCCUCCGCCCAUGCACCUCGCGUCCACCUGCCGUGCACCUCGCGUGCACCUCCCGUGCCCUCCCCCGUGCACCUCCUGUCCACCGCAGGAUGGGCGUCUGCGCGCCGGCGGCUUCCUGUGUUGGCCGCCUCGAGCGCGGGAGGCGCAGCUUCACACUGGUCCCGCGCAGGCUGCCCGCCCGCGUCCGUGGCGCCGACGAGCCCGAGUCUUCACGACACCGACGCUCACAAGCGGCCGCCUGGCCGACGCACGUCUGCAGCCGGAGCGCCUUCAGGAAGACCCGGCGACUGAAGGGGCGGAGGAUCCCUGA
rnacentral:lncRNA from 12 species